GUAUCUUUCUCGCCAAUUGGCUUUGAUCGAGUGUAGUAUCUGUUCUUUUCAGUGUAAUAGCUGAAAGCAUCCUACGGGGUGCAAUACUAUUAUCUCAAUUUUUUGUUGGGUUCAGAGUUGUGCUUAAUUGCACACUUUGGCUGGCUUCAAUAAGACAUUGCACUUUCCGUCAGAUUUGGAGCUAUCCCA
rfam:Naegleria gruberi genomic scaffold NAEGRscaffold_995, whole genome shotgun sequence.